AACCAGAAGGCGCAAUGAAAGUGAAGGCACGGUUGCCGUGCUGAGGUGAGAGCUGUCCUCGGCAGCACAUCAUCGACCGAUCCCAUCCGCACCCCCGUGGCGCGGCGGGAUUCGAGUAAGAGUGUACCUGUUGCGACCCGAAAGAUGGUGAACUAUGCCUGAAUAGGGUGAAGCCAGAGGAAACUCUGGUGGAGGCCCGCAGCGAUUCUGACGUGCAAAUCGAUCGUCAAAUUUGGGUAUAGGGGCGAAAGACUAAUCGAACCAUCUAGUAGCUGGUUCCCUCCGAAGUUUCCCUCAGGAUAGCUGUAGCCCGAAGCAGUUUUAUCAGGUAAAGCGAAUGAUUAGAGGUAUCGGGGAAGAAACUUCCUCGACCUAUUCUCAAACUUUAAAUAGGUAAGAAGUCCGACUUGCUCAAUUUGAAGCCGGACACAGAAUGCUGGGUUACUAGUGGGCCAUUUUUGGUAAGCAGAACUGGCGAUGCGGGAUGAACCGAACGCUGAGUUAAGGUGCCAAAGUCGACGCUCAUCAGAUCCC
rnacentral:rRNA from 1 species